rnacentral:rRNA from 1 species
UUGCACAAUGGGCGAAAGCCUGAUGCAGCGACGCCGCGUGAGGGAUGAAGGUUUUAGGAUCGUAAACCUCUUUUCUUAGGGAAUAGUUUGGAAGGUACCUAAGGAAUAAGUCACGGCUAACUACGUGCCAGCAGCCGCGGUAAUACGUAGGUGGCAAAUGUUGUCCGGAAUCAUUGGGCGUAAAGGGUCCGUAGGUGGCUUGAAAAGUCUUAUGUGAAAUCUCUUGGCUCAACCAAGAAACGCCAUAAGAAACUUUCAUGCUAGAGAUCAUCAGAGGGAGGUAGAAUUCCAGGUGUAGUGGUGAAAUGCGUAGAUAUCUGGAGGAAUACCAAUGGCGAAAGCAGCCUCCUGGGGUGAAUCUGACAUUGAGGGACGAAAGCGUGGGUAGCAAACCGGAUUAGAUACCCGGGUAGUCCAUGCCGUAAACGAUGAAUACUGGGUCUUCGGGGAAUCGACCCCCUGUGGACCGAAGCUAACGCGUUAAGUAUUCCGCCUGGGGAGUACGGUCGCAAGACUAAAACUCAAAGGAAUUGACGGGGGCCCGCACAAGCAGCGGAGCGUGUGGUUUAAUUCGAUGGUAAACGAAGAACCUUACCUAGGUUUGACAUAUAAGUAGUACUGACCCGAAAGGUGAUGGACCCGCAAGGGAGCUUAUACAGGUGCUGCAUGGUUGUCGUCAGCUCGUGCCGUGAGGUGUUGGGUUAAGUCCCGCAACGAGCGCAACCCUCGUGGAUAGUUGUUUUCUUUAUCCAGACUGCUUUUACAAGAGGAAGGUGGGGAUGACGUCAAAUCAUCAUGGCUCUUACACCUAGGGCUACACACACGCUACAAUGGACAGUACAGACGGUUGCUAAGUCGCAAGAUGGAGCCAAUCCGAUAAAGCUGUCCCCAAUUGGGAUUGUAGGCUGAAACUCGCCUGCAUGAACCUGGAGUUGCUAGUAACCGCAGAUCAGAAUGCUGCGGUGAAUACGUUCCCGGGCCUUGUACACACCGCCCGUCACGUCAUGGAAGUUUGAAACACUUGAAGUCGCUGGGCUUACCUUUUAGGAGGCAGGCGCCGAGAGUGGGGCAAAUGACUGGGACGAAGUCGUAACAAGGUAGCUGUACCGGAAGGUGCGGCUG